GGGAAUUUUGCGCAAUGGGGGAAACCCUGACGCAGCAACGCCGCGUGGAGGAUGAAAUCCCCUGGGAUGUAAACUCCUUUCGACUGGGAAGAUAAUGACGGUACCAGGAGAAGAAGCCCCGGCUAACUUCGUGCCAGCAGCCGCGGUAAUACGAGGGGGGCAAGCGUUGUUCGGAAUUAUUGGGCGUAAAGGGUGCGUAGGCGGUUUGAUAAGUCUUAUGUGAAAUCUUCGGGCUCAACCCGAAGUCUGCAUAGGAAACUGUCGGGCUUGAGUAUGGGAGAGGUGAGUGGAAUUUCCGGUGUAGCGGUGAAAUGCGUAGAUAUCGGAAGGAACACCUGUGGCGAAAGCGGCUCACUGGACCAUAACUGACGCUGCUGCACGAAAGCUAGGGGAGCAAA
rnacentral:rRNA from 1 species